rnacentral:rRNA from 1 species
GACGAACGCUGGCGGCGUGCCUAACACAUGCAAGUCGAGCGAUGAAGUUUCCUUCGGGAAACGGAUUAGCGGCGGACGGGUGAGUAACACGUGGGUAGCCUGCCUCGUAGAGGGGAAUAGCCUCCCGAAAGGGAGAUUAAUACCGCAUAACAUUGCAGUUUCGCAUGAAACAGCAAUUAAAGGAGCAAUCCGCUAUGAGAUGGACCCGCGGCGCAUUAGCUAGUUGGUAAGGUAAUGGCUUACCAAGGCGACGAUGCGUAGCCGACCUGAGAGGGUGAUCGGCCACAUUGGGACUGAGACACGGCCCAGACUCCUACGGGAGGCAGCAGUGGGGAAUAUUGCACAAUGGGGGAAACCCUGAUGCAGCAACGCCGCGUGAGUGAUGACGGUCUUCGGAUUGUAAAGCUCUGUCUUUGGGGACGAUAAUGACGGUACCCAAGGAGGAAGCCACGGCUAACUACGUGCCAGCCGCCGCCGUAA